rnacentral:rRNA from 1 species
GAUGAACGCUGGCGGCGUGCCUAAUACAUGCAAGUCGAACGCUGAAGGAGUAGCUUGCUCUUCUGGAUGAGUUGCGAACGGGUGAGUAACGCGUAGGUAACCUGCCUGGUAGCGGGGGAUAACUAUUGGAAACGAUAGCUAAUACCGCAUGACAACAGCUAUUUCAUGAUAACUGUUUAAAAGGUGCAACUGCUCCACUACCAGAUGGACCUGCGUUGGAUUGGCUAGGUGGUGAGGUAACGGCUCACCAAGGCGACGAUACAUAGCCGACCUGUGAGGGGGGGCGGCCGGCCUGGGAGGGAGACAGGGCACAGAGGCCUAGGGGAGGGAGCAGUAGGGAAUCGGCGGCAAGAGACGGAAGUCUGACCGAGAAGGGCCGAGGGAGUGAAGAAGGUUGUCGGGUCGUAAAGCUCGGUUGUAGGGGAGGAACGAGUGUGAGCGUGGAAAGUUCACACUGUGACGGUAUCUUGUCAGAAAGGGACGGCUAACUACGUG